ACAUGACAAGACAACGCAAAAUCCGACAAGUUUGGAUUCGGAAAGGUGAUAUCUUUCCUUGCUCUUCAUUUUAGUUUGUGUUUAUUGUUUAUGUAAUGCUUUGAUUGGUGCUUGUUGCAUAUUUUUAUUCAUUGCAUUACAUGAUGAUUUUUGUGUGUAAAAUUUAUUUUUAAAAUUGAUUUGAGGAAAGGUGUUUGGAAAUUUUAAAUUUUUUUUCUUUGAGAAAGGAGAUGAUUGAAAAUCAUUAUUUUGGAGAGAUUAAAUUUUUCAAAGUGUUUUAAACGAUAUUUAACUUCACAUUCAUCUUGAAUUAAAUUCAUUUUAAUUAUCGGUUUUACUCCACUUUUUAUUAUUUUGACGAUAAUUGAUUAUAUGAAUUCCUAAUACAUAUAUUCAUCAAAAUUUUGAAAUAAAUUUUAAUCUUUUGGUGAUUAAUUCAUCUUGGUUGUGUGUGUUGAAUAUGAUGGAUGGAUAUUCACUAAUCGACUAAAAUUUUGUCAAAAUUAUUUUCAAUUGUAAGAUUGUCUAAUUAAGGGGGAGUUCAUAUUAUUAAAAAAAAAAGAAAAAGCUCCUAUGUUUGAAAGAUGUGGAAAGAGUUACAUCUAAAAGGAGUGUGAAAACUACCACCAUAUGUAGGAAAGAGCCACCACCCCAGUCGUCCGGUAAGUUUGUGAAGCUAUCACAUGGAAUUUAAAUGAAAAACCAAAAAAGUUAAAAAAAAUAAAUAAAUAUUUUAGAAUUUUCGGAGUUAUAAGGUGAUAGGAUGAAAAGAUGCUCAAAGAGCCACUCCCGGUUGCAUAUUAGUUAAAUCUCUAUUUUAAACGAGUUGCGACAAAUUGGUGUCAAUUUUGUUGAAUUUCUAAAAAUCAAUUUUAAUCAACUUACAUCUUGAUGGUUAUGAAUCAUUAUAUUAUUUUUGAUAACAGAAUUUUAAUGUUUCGAUGUAUUUUGACCUCCUAUAAUAUUUUAUUGUCAUUAUAAUGAUUUUUGGAGUACAAUUUUUAAUUUUUAUGAAAUUAAUUUGAUUUUGAGGGAUUUUUGAUGAAAUUUUUUCAAAAUUUUCGAAAUCUGUGGAAGUGUACCGGUACAAAAUAACGUGUACCGGUACAAAUCAUUGUGCCGCGUCUUUUAUAUCCGGUUACAGCAUUCGGUUUUUCCCCCAAACUCUUUCAAAAUUCCUCCUUUCUCUCUCUAAAAAUCCCAGGUGGUCUUCUCCUUCAUAUCCACGUAUUUCCCCUCAAGAUUUGUAAGUUUAUAGUGCGGAUUUAAUCAUUUGCUCGCGUUUUUGCUAUUUUUUCGAAAAUAUU
rnacentral:lncRNA from 1 species